rnacentral:ncRNA from 1 species
GGUUCCGGGAGAGACCGCACAUGCGGCGCCGAAGGGGCAGAAACUCUCAGGCAAAAGGACGGGAA